rnacentral:rRNA from 1 species
CCUACGGGGGGCAGCAGUCGAGAAUCAUUCACAAUGGGGGAAACCCUGAUGGUGCGACGCCGCGUGGGGGAAUGAAGGUCUUCGGAUUGUAAACCCCUAUCAUGUGGGCGCAAAUUAAAAAGAUAGUACCACAAGAGGAAGAGACGGCUAACUCUGUGCCAGCUGCCGCGGUAAUACAGAGGUCUCAAGCGUUGUUCGGAAUCACUGGGCGUAAAGCGUGCGUAGGCUGUUUCGUAAGUCGUGUGUGAAAGGCGCGGGCUCAACCCGCGGACGGCACAUGAUACUGCGAGACUAGAGUACUGGAGGGGGAAGCGGAAUGCUCGGUGUAGCAGUGAAAUGCGUAGAUAUCGAGAGGAACACUCGUGGCGAAGGCGGGUUCCUGGACAUUAACUGACGCUGAGGCACGAAGGCCAGGGGAGCGAAAGGGAUUAGAUACCCCAGUAGUC